rnacentral:rRNA from 1 species
AGUGAACGCUGGCGGUAGGCCUAACACAUGCAAGUCGAACGGCAGCACAGUAAGAGCUUGCUCUUACGGGUGGCGAGUGGCGGACGGGUGAGGAAUACAUCGGAAUCUACUUUUUCGUGGGGGAUAACGUAGGGAAACUUACGCUAAUACCGCAUACGACCUACGGGUGAAAGCAGGGGAUCUUCGGACCUUGCGCGAUUGGAUGAGCCGAUGUCGGAUUAGCUAGUUGGCGGGGUAAAGGCCCACCAAGGCGACGAUCCGUAGCUGGUCUGAGAGGAUGAUCAGCCACACUGGAACUGAGACACGGUCCAGACUCCUACGGGAGGCAGCAGUGGGGAAUAUUGGAAAAUGGGCGCAAGCCUGAUCCAGCCAUACCGCGUGGGUGAAGAAGGCCUGCGGGUUGUAAAGCCCUUUUGUUGGGAAAGAAAAGCAGCAGGUUAAUACCCCGCUGUUCGGACGGUACCCAAAGAAUAAGCACCGGCUAACUUCGG